AAAUGAGAUGGGUUUAGCUUAAUUAAGUUGGGUCAUUUUCAUAAACCCAAUUUCCCUUGAUUAUCAUAAAUAACAUCCUGGAGAGGCAGACGUUAUUAUCAUUUACAUUUUAUAGAGAGGGAAACUGAGACCCAAAGGUGUAAACACCUUGCCCAAGACCCAAAUAUCACAGAAUUUUCACUGUUCUAUGUUAUGCUAUCCUAUUUCUCUAAUAAAAAAGUAACUUUAAUUGCUAUAAUAUCUUCAGGUAAGGGUUAUUACUGAUUUAACAAUGAUGAACUUUGUUUUAAAGUGUCACAUGAAUGAGAUAAAAUAAAAUACAUUUAAAUUGGAAAGGAUUUAGGCUAGUAGGAAAUUUUUACCAAUAACAGUAUAUGUGAUUGUAGAAUAUUAGGCAGUUAGAAGAAGACAGAGAAUUUUAUUUGAUGAAUUUUAUAAUUGUGUCUUUUCUUCUUUUAAAGAAAAAGGUAUACAAGAAGGACAAAAUUUAGAUAAAAGUUUUCUUGAAGGUAGGAGAAUGAAUUAUUUGACCUACACAAGAUGAAAAUGCUUUUUAAAAAUCAGCCACCACCAGACAUUACUGACUAUUCAUUAUAGCCCACCAGUGUAAGGAGAUGGGCUUUGAUCUCCUUUCUAAGGUCACCAGGCUGGCUCUAAUCCCAGUGCUUUGGGCACCCCUGCUGUGCUCCAUCCUGCAGUUAGGUGUGUUUCCUGGACAAUGGAGUCUGUGGAAACUGCCUGGCCUUGGAACACAUGUGACAAAAAACCUCAAAGUACAUGAGAGCCAGGAUCAUCACCAACUUAAUUUCCCAGCCUUUUCCACAGAGCACAGGCUCCUUUCUUUUUCACAUCUGUGUGUGCCAGGAAAGCAGUGUCUUGCCCAGGAAAACUCACCAGUUGUGCCUCAUUGAUGGUGUUAUUGGAAAAACAAGCAUGAAAUAAAAGAGAGGGAUUCCCUUAGAAUACAAAUACGCUCAUAACACAAUUCAUUAAGCAAUAUCACUUAUUUAUGAUAUUCUCCUAUUAUAUCUAUGUCUGCCUACUUCUAAUUUCAGCAAAAAGGUGUAAAAUUUCCCUACAUUUUCUUAUUUGUGACAAGUACUGAGUUUAAAAUGGUAGUGCAAAACUGACAUUGAUAGAUUCUACUUUGACGUUAGGUUCAAAUUCAGUUUGGAGAAUGCAUUUCCCCUACUUGAGGUGAUAUGGUUUGGCUGUGUUCCACUCAAACCUCAUCUUGAAUUCUAACUCCCACAAUUCCCAUGUGUUGUGGGAGGAACCUGGUGGGAGGUAGUUGAAUUAUGGGGAUGGGUCUUUCCCAUGCUGUUCUUGUGACAGUGAAUGGGUCUCACUAGAUCUGAUGGUUUUAAAAACAGUUUCCCUGCACAAGCUCUCUCUUUGACUGCCACCAUCCAUGUAAGAUGUGACUUGCUCUUCCUUGCCUCCUGCCCUGAUUGUGACGCCUCCCCAGCCAUGUGGAACUCAGAGGAAGCUCCGUUUAGAAAUAGCUCCUUGGUCACAUGCUGGACAAACAUGGAACAGCCUAUGGAACAGAACAAUCAUAUCUCUAUAUAAUGUGCAUUGGUUUCUUUGACUUGCCUGGUGUUGUGAGGAGGGGUCCUCCUUCAGAUUUUCAUCCAGGUCCACGCCAACUCUGUUAAACAAAACCAAAAACUGGUCAAUCCCCUGCUGCAGAAGGAAUGAGACAGUCUUGUGUGUCAGAUGACCUAACCCAAACACAAUGUGAAUCUGAGAAAAGAUUUGGCAGAAAACUAUCCUACGUCUUCUUGAAUCAAAAGAACCUCAGAUUUAUACCAAAAUAAGAACUUGAACAGCUGGGCCUCAGGAUGCUGGAGAAAUUAAGCAUCAACAGCAGCUCUUCACUACUGUCGUUCCUGGCAAGCAGCAAUCAGAGCAGACAUUCCUGCACAACUAGAUGGGGCAGAGGAAGUGAUGAAAUUCUUUCAUUUGAUGGGGACUCAGUGGAAGGCAUCUCAGAGACCUGACUGGGAAGAAGACUGUACCUCCUCCCACAUCUCAUCUCAGGGCAGGUCCAGAGCAGGACAAACGCCACAAGUGGCUUGAGGAAAGAGAACCUCCAUGAAAGGUGUUUCCCUCCUGGGGAAGCCAGGGUGAACACGGUCCUUGCCCACACAGGGCAUACGAUUCGGGAGGUUCAAUGAGGAUAAUAUAAAAAAUGUACCACAGCUUAAGGGCCAUGAAGGAAACAAUGCCUUCUUUCACUUGUGAUAUUAGCUGCUUUUGAGGAAAAUCUGGCUAAUAUAUGUUUCUUGGCUACCUGCCUCCUUAAAUAGUGUGUAAGGGGGAUAUUCUAAUCUUAACUGGAGGACUCAGCAUUGCAACUGGUCCCAUAAAGUCUGACACUUGCUUCUUUAUAAUGAUUUCCAAGAGGUGUAUGAACCUUUUUAUGAUCACGUUAAAUGGUCCCUGACUACUGUCUUUUUUUUUCAAAUUAUUGUAUCUGCCAGUUAGAUUGCCUUUAUUUUUCCUGACUGUAACAAUAUGUUGACAUAUUGUCCCUAUGACCCCCACCCCUUUAAUUUACUGUAGGACUAACCCUGACAGUCAAAUUUAUUUUUAUUUUCAUUUUCUAUCUAUCUAUCUAAUUUAAAUAUUAUAGAAAGGCUUACAAUCACACACAAUUGUUCUCAUAAUACCCUUGCACCCCUUCAGACCAACUCCCAUUGCCUUGGAGGGCAAUUUUCUGCCUUUUCUCAAUUGUGAUAUAUAAGCUGACAUAGACAUGCAUGGCACCUUCACACAGCAUCCCAAGGGGUAUGCAAACAUGCCAACUACAUCUGUAUCUCUUACUCUCCUCUUCAAGAAAGCAAGUCAGAAUAUGGAACUGACAUUAUUUUAGGGCUAACCAUGUAUCCAUUCACUUUAAACAAAUUUUUACAGCUCUUUUUAAUGCAUGAGCAUCCACUUUUGUGCACAAAAGAUCAUUUAUACGUAAUGAGUUUUUGAGAGAUUAGAAAGAAGACAUAAUAUUGUCCCAGUUUGUGGUGUUACAUGUAUAUAGCAGCCCCCCAGGUGAGAUCACAGUAUGAAGUCCAACCUCCUUAGGUGACAUCCAAGGGUCUUUAGCACCUCUCCCUCAAUGUUAAGCUAGCCACCCUUUCUGCUCACCUGAUCUGGACAGUGUCCUGGGUCCGGUAACUGGACUUGUCCUUGUUUCUGAGCCCCAGCACCAAAUACAGUCCCUGAGCUCUGGCCAUACAAUAAUCUGCCAGUUUCUCUCCCAUGGACUGGACCCCCUCCCUCCAAACUCCAGGCUGGUAUUUUGGGCCACGCUGGCUACCACUGAACUUGUGCGAUACCCUGCCUUCUUUCCUGAACUCCAAGCACUGUCCUCCCUUCUGUCUGAUCACCACCUUGUCCCAUCCACCACGAUGCCCUUCCUAGGUCUCAGAUCUCCCAUCACUAGAAGUUACUGAGACUUGGAGUGAAGUAGCUGUACUCCUCCUACUCUGCUCUCUGCUCCCAAAUAGAAUCCCUUCUGGGCACUGGAGAUCACCUUGCUCUGUCUUUGGCGACCCUGGCUCACCCUUUGCUCACCUGUCUGUUUAUACCCAGGCAUGCAGGGCAAGCUCUACAGUAUACAUCGGCCCUAGCUGGAAUCUGAUGACUUCAUGAUUACCCUGUAGUUGUUCAAGGGUCAGUGAAACCCAGAUGUCAAGAGAGUUGUUUGGAGCCAGACUACCUGGGUUGAAAAAUGUGGCUCUGCCUCUCACUUGCUCUGUGACCUGUGUCACUCACUCUGUCUCCAUCUUGGUUUCCUCACCAAUACAAUGGGGAUAAUUAGAGAACUCAUUUCACAGGGUUGUGGUGAGGAUUAAGUAAGAAAAUAGCUUAGGACCUGUUAUAUAGUAAGUUUUUAAGAAUGUUAGCAGCUAUUAUUGAUAUUAUUAUUUUUCAGUACUUAUCAGUGGGGCCAGAGCUCAGUUACUGAUUACUUUCAGAGAUAAGCCCUCCUAGUCCUUGUUUCUGCACUGGACAACCUUUGAAUAUAUAGCAACCACCACAAUUGAGCCACAAGGAGCAGCCAGUGUACAGCAAGGAUUUCUGGUCUCAUAGCAAAACAUUAUUUCUGUUUAAAGAGGGCCAAGUUUCCCAGGUUUUGAUUUUUUUAAAAUUUAUUUCUUUUAUUUUUGAGACACAGUCUCAUUCUGUCACCCAGGCUGGAGUAUAGCGGUAUGUUCUUGGUUCACUGCAACCUCCACCUCCUGGGUUCAAGUGAUUCUUUUGCCUUAGCCCCCUGAGUAGCUGGGAUUAUAGGCGUACGCCACCACACCCAGCUGAUUUUUGUAUUUUCAGUAGAGAUGGGGUUUUGUCAUAUUGCCCAGGCUGUUUUCAAACUCCUGGGCUCAAGUGAUCCAUCCACCUAGGCUUCCCAAAGUGCUGGGAUUACAGGUGUGAGCCACUGUGCCUCGCCUGGUUUGGAAUUAUUUAUAAUUUAUUGGUAGACUAGUUAGGGUAAUAAGGCAACAAAGAAGGAAAAGAAGGUGUCUGAAGAGCAAGGAGAAACAAGGAAGAGGGAAGAGCUGAGCAGAAAGCAAGAAAAGAAAAGGAAGGUGAAAAGGAAAGAUAGAGAAAGAAAUACAUUACUA
rnacentral:lncRNA from 1 species